CCCCUGAUGGUCCAGUGGUUAGGACUCGGUGCUUUCACUGCCGUGGUCCAAGUUCAAUCCCUGGUCGGGGAA